rnacentral:rRNA from 1 species
UGUGCCAGCAGCCGCGGUAAUACGGAGGGUGCAAGCGUUAAUCGGAAUUACUGGGCGUAAAGCGCACGCAGGCGGUUUGUUAAGUCAGAUGUGAAUCCCCGGGCUCAACCUGGGAACUGCAUCUGAUACUGGCAAGCUUGAGUCUCGUAGAGGGGGGUAGAAUUCCAGGUGUAGCGGUGAAAUGCGUAGAGAUCUGGAGGAAUACCGGUGGCGAAGGCGGCCCCCUGGACGAAGACUGACGCUCAGGUGCGUAAGCGUGGGGAGCAAACAGGAUUAGA